AUUGAACGCUGGCGGAAUGCUUUACACAUGCAAGUCGAACGGUAGAGGGGGCAACCCCUUGAGAGUGGCGAACGGGUGAGUAAUAUAUCGGAACGUGCCCAGUCGUGGGGGAUAACGUAGCGAAAGUUACGCUAAUACCGCAUACGAUCUAAGGAUGAAAGCGGGGGACCGUAAGGCCUCGCGCGAUUGGAGCGGCCGAUAUCAGAUCAGGUAGUUGGUGGGGUAAAGGCUCACCAAGCCAACGAUCUGUAGCUGGUCUGAGAGGACGACCAGCCACACUGGAACUGAGACACGGUCCAGACUCCUACGGGAGGCAGCAGUGGGGAAUUUUGGACAAUGGACGCAAGUCUGAUCCAGCCAUUCCGCGUGCAGGAUGAAGGCCCUCGGGUGUAAACUGCUUUGUACGGAACGAAAAGGUCUCUCUUAAUACGGGGGGCUCAUGACGGUACCGUAAGAAUAAGCACCGGCUAACUACGUG
rnacentral:rRNA from 1 species